CUGAGAGCCCGAAUCAAGAGGAGCUUAACAACGAAAGAAAACCCAAGAAAGAUUUUUUACUAAAACGCUGGCUAUUGCUAAGUGCACAGUAUCAUUACUAAAAUCGUGUGCAACAAGUACAGAGGGUUCUAUGACACGAUUUAGUGAGGCAGAGUUAAGCGCUUCUGGAGACAUGUACGGCAUUUAAUGGAAUGGCAUUGCCUCACUUGAUGACAAGUCUUAAGGCAAUUUAUGCAAAGGGCGAGCCUUUUUGCUUCCUGAAGGCGAUUCGUAGAGCUGGUGCAGCUGAGAGCCCGAAUCAAGAGGAGCUUAACAACGAAAGAAAACCCAAGAAAGAUUUUUUACUAAAACGCUGGCUAUUGCUAAGUGCACAGUAUCAUUACUAAAAUCGUGUGCAACAAGUACAGAGGGUUCUAUGACACGAUUUAGUGAGGCAGAGUUAAGCGCUUCUGGAGACAUGUACGGCAUUUAAUGGAAUGGCAUUGCCUCACUGGAUGACAAGUCUUAAGGCAAUUUAUGCAAAGGGCGAGCCUUUUUGCUUCCUGAAGGCGAUUCGUAGAGCUGGUGCAGCUGAGAGCCCGAAUCAAGAGGAGCUUAACAACGAAAGAAAACCCAAGAAAGAUUUUUUACUAAAACGCUGGCUAUUGCUAAGUGCACAGUAUCAUUACUAAAAUCGUGUGCAACAAGUACAGAGGGUUCUAUGACACGAUUUAGUGAGGCAGAGUUAAGCGCUUCUGGAGACAUGUACGGCAUUUAAUGGAAUGGCAUUGCCUCACUUGAUGACAAGUCUUAAGGCAAUUUAUGCAAAGGGCGAGCCUUUUUGCUUCCUGAAGGCGAUUCGUAGAGCUGGUGCAGCUGAGAGCCCGAAUCAAGAGGAGCUUAACAACGAAAGAAAACCCAAGAAAGAUUUUUUACUAAAACGCUGGCUAUUGCUAAGUGCACAGUAUCAUUACUAAAAUCGUGUGCAACAAGUACAGAGGGUUCUAUGACACGAUUUAGUGAGGCAGAGUUAAGCGCUUCUGGAGACAUGUACGGCAUUUAAUGGAAUGGCAUUGCCUCACUUGAUGACAAGUCUUAAGGCAAUUUAUGCAAAGGGCGAGCCUUUUUGCUUCCUGAAGGCGAUUCGUAGAGCUGGUGCAGCUGAGAGCCCGAAUCAAGAGGAGCUUAACAACGAAAGAAAACCCAAGAAAGAUUUUUUACUAAAACGCUGGCUAUUGCUAAGUGCACAGUAUCAUUACUAAAAUCGUGUGCAACAAGUACAGAGGGUUCUAUGACACGAUUUAGUGAGGCAGAGUUAAGCGCUUCUGGAGACAUGUACGGCAUUUAAUGGAAUGGCAUUGCCUCACUUGAUGACAAGUCUUAAGGCAAUUUAUGCAAAGGGCGAGCCUUUUUGCUUCCUGAAGG